rnacentral:misc_RNA from 1 species
AUUUUUUUUUAUCGCCCAGCCAAAGCUGCCUCCAAUAAGGAGAGACACAUCACUGCACGCCAUCUACGUUAAGUGCUCACACUCCGAGGUAGCCAAGCAGAUCCUCCCCCCCCCUUCCCAUCCCUGCCAACACCAAGCCGCCCCUGGCCCCGACAGGGUCAGGCGCACAGGACGUGGGGAGGGCCAGUGCGACUUGUCGCUGCUUGAUGUCAGCGGCCACGUCCUGGAUGGCGCUGCGUUGGAGCGACCUGCGACAGCGGAUGCCUCUGCCCCACCCAUAUGAUGAGCAGGGUGUCAGCACGAUUCGGACGUAUCCCAGCCGGUCCUCACACCGCCUGCUGGUGGGGGGGGCCCUGAGCCACCCCGAGGGGUGCACCCCGCGGCCACCGGCAUGAUGAUAACUGCUGUAGGGCAGCCUACAAAGUGGGGGCCGGUGGGUUGCGUUGCGGGCUGGGGCCGUGCUGCGGCGGCUGGGUGGGCGCGUUGCCGCAGCGGCUGUCCAGCGCUGCUUUGCGCCACGCCGUGGGGGCCUGAGACAGGGUCGUCAGGUAGAGUGCAGCUUGACUCGUGCUAUAUCGCAGAACGAAGUUUCUUUUUGCUUUUACCGUGCCAUUCUGCCGCGAGCAAGUGACAAAAAUAGACGCAUACAACCACAGCUCACCCGUCUCCGUAGGGAGGGGGGGGUUACAGCUGCAUCCUGGGCGUCUAGGACGAGCCGCCUGCCUUCGCAUCGGGCCAUACGCCGCACGGGCACUUCCUGUCCUUGCUCGUCCCUUCCUCGGGUGCGUGCUGCGCGGCGGGCGUCCCACGGACAUGGGUGAGCUGCAUGGCCUGAUCCAACGCGGGGCCGCGCCCAUGCUCCUGCUCGAGGGCGGAGGCGGUGGCGUCUGUCGUGCGGGUAAUAGGGGAGUGGUCAAGGUGACAUGCCGGAUGAGCUCGAGGAGGACGUUGGCCAGCCUCAGGUCAGGGCCCUCGGUGGCCCUGCGCACCCCCUGCCUGCGUGCCAUGCUUCGCCCUCGGUCGCUUCACGCCGCGGCAUCCCAUAAUAUGGAGACCCUCCGCAUGGGGAGUCGGGAGGGCCCGGAUGGUGCAGCUCGGGCUGCUCUCGUGAUGCUUCCGGCAUCUGUGCCUCAUCAGUGCAGCCCUGGACAGAUGCCGAAGAUGCCGCAUGCUAUGCACACAUGCGCUGUGGGGCUCACUGCUAUGGGACUUCUUCGCGCCCCUUCCGUCCAUCACUCUUGCUCUCUCACCUCUGCACUCUUUCUUUCGAUGUGGCGCACCAAGCCAG